rnacentral:siRNA from 1 species
CUAAGAACUGUACUCGACCCAGGU